UUUUGUGUAAGUUACAUCAGAACUUUUGACCGGGUAGACCGAUUUCGACAAAUUUUGUUUUAAUCGAAAGGUGGUGUGUGCCAAUUGGUCCCAUUUAAAUUUAUUUGAGAUCUAACAACUCCUUUACGAGCUAUAUCUAAUAAUGCGUUUUUACUUGACGCUUUUUUCGUCGACCUACGUUGUAUUAUACCGCAUAACUUUCUACUGGAUGUACCGAUUUUGAUAAUUCUUUUUUUGUUGGAAAGGAGAUAUCCCAAGUUUAGUACCAUGAUAAGGAAACCAGGAUCUGAUGAUGGGAUCCUAGAGAAAUCGAGGGAAACUCUUGAAAAUCCGCAAUAACUUUUUACUAGGUGUACCGAUUUUAAUGAUUUUUAAUUUAAUCGAAAGCCGAUGAUUAUCAUGUAGUCACAUUUAAAUUUCAUCGAGAUCUGAUAACUACUUUUUGAGUAAUCUUUGAUAAUGCGUUAUUACUUGACUAUUUUUUCGUCGAUCUGCGUUGUAUUACUCGUCGAUGUAAUUGAAG
rnacentral:misc_RNA from 1 species